ACGCUUUUGCCCUUCGUCUUCAACACCAUCGUCUUCAACACCAUUGUCCAGACAUCGAUUUUGACGAUUCAUAGUGUUAUUAACAACACCAUCGUCUUCAACAAAAUUUUCCAGCCAACAUGUCUAUUCUGAUUAACCCAAUCAAUCAAAAUAAAUGAUUUUUGAUUGAAGAAAUCUAAACCCUAAAGGGAUACUAUCUAGGGAACCCUUGGGUUCUAAUCUUAAACACUCCAAUUCAUUAUUAAUUCUAAACCAAAUUUGAUUUUUAUUGUCAAUAGAGUUCAUCAUCAUCGUCACCAACUAAUAACAGAGGAUUUGGAAAAGUAAUUCUAGAGAUCCAAACUAUCACCUUCGCUUCUCACUAUCGCUCAACUCACCAUCGUCGUUGAAACUCACCAUCGUCGCCAACGCUAAUUGGAGGUCGAGAUCUUGCCGUCUUUUUCAUCACGAGACAUGAUUCAUGAGUCACCGCCGUUGCUU